CGAGUUUGAUCCUGGCUCAGAACGAACGCUGGCGGCAGGCCUAACACAUGCAAGUCUAGCGCGCCCUUCGGGGUGAGCGGCGGACGGGUGAGUAACGCGUGGGAACGUACCCUUUGCUACGGAAUAGUCUCGGGAAACUGGGGGUAAUACCGUAUGAGCCCUUCGGGGGAAAGAUUUAUCGGCAAAGGAUCGGCCCGCGUUGGAUUAGGUAGUUGGUGGGGUAAUGGCCCACCAAGCCGACGAUCCAUAGCUGGUUUGAGAGGAUGAUCAGCCACAAUGGGACUGAGACAAGGCCCAUACCCCUACGGGGGGCAGCAGUGGGGAAUCUUGCGCAAUGGACGAAAGUCUGACGCAGCGAUCUCGCGUGAAGGAUGAAGCUUUGCGGAGUGUAAACUUCUUUUCUGGGAGAAAACGACUGAUGGUAUCUCAAGAAUAAGGGACGGCUAACUACGUG
rnacentral:rRNA from 1 species